rnacentral:rRNA from 1 species
AUGAUCAAGCAACUAGGAUAUGCUUUGCCAUCCAUGGGAUUUCAAGUGUACUGGUUGGAUCCUAGCAAAACAAUAGUAGAUGGUUUGAAGCAGAUGAACUUUCAAAUGCAUGCAUUAUCUGUGACAGAUUCAGCUUGUGCAAGAGGUGGCCACAAAGUGCAUGUUUAUGUUGAUCAUGAUAAUGUUCUGGAGAAACAACUUUGGGAUGAUGUUCUUGUGCAACCAGUUGAGCUACCUACAUUGAUAAGUCCUUGCAAGAAAGAAUUUCAGUCAGAGGACAUACCAGCUAGCAAUUGUAUGCCUACAUUCAGUGAGAAAAUAUUCAACAUGAUGUCAGGUGGAUAUGAAGAUUUGUGCAACAACAACAGAUCCAUACCUGCUAGGAGGAACUUGAGUACUGAUUUUGUGAAAGAAGAAUUUUACAUGGAAAAGAAAGGGAAGGACAAUAUGUUCCUUGAGGUUUUACAGCAAGAAGAAGAAUUUGCUGCUGUUAGAGAAGAAGAAUUAGCUGGUGUGCAAGAAGAAGAAUUUGAUGCUAAUGCAAGAAGAAGAUUUUGCUGCUAUGCAAGAAGAAGAUUUUGCUGA